rnacentral:rRNA from 1 species
CGUGUAGGCGGGUCCUUAAGUCAGGGGUGAAAUGCCAAGGCUCAACCUUGGAACUGCCUUUGAUACUGGGGACCUUGAGUCCGGGAGAGGUGAGUGGAACUGCGAGUGUAGAGGUGAAAUUCGUAGAUAUUCGCAAGAACACCAGUGGCGAAGGCGGCUCACUGGCCCGGAACUGACGCUGAGACGCGAAAGCGUGGGGAGCAAACA